UGCCUCUCAGGAUGGCACCUGGAGAGUUUCCGCUUCUCUACCGGUCUCCGCAACGGGAGGGAGAGUCAAGCAGAGGCCUGUCCAUUCCAUUCCUAGCUUGGCCAGUGGCUAGCGACAGGAAGGCAAUCUGCUACAGGU